CUCUUUAGAAAGAGUUUCAGGCUGGUUUUUGGAAAAAUGAGAGAGAAGUUGUAGUUUUUCUAGGUGGCUCCCAUUUUGGCUGUAGUGUUUCCAAGCGCGUGGAGGAAAGCGCAUUCUUUGUUAUUUAUCUCCGGUAAAGACAAUAACGAUUCUCCGUCUUAAAUUUUAUUGUUUAUUUGCGUAUUAUGGUACCUAAGGUUUGAUUAUAAACGUUGAUUGACUUGUUUGGAUAGGUUUAUUGGUAACAUUUAGGAUUCAUUUUGUAUGCAUUUUGAAGGAGGGAAAACGUUGGAUUAUUGACUGAAGCGCACCAGCUAAACUGAGUUUUUAUGGAUAUAAGGAAGGACUUUAUUGAACAAAAGGACCAUUUGGGACCAAAAGGACCAUUUGUAAUGAGACCUUUUGGAGUGCCAACAGAAGAAGAUCUUCAAAGAACAACAACAUCCAGACUCUCCCCGUGGACACAUUCUGUUACAGCCAUGACUGUAACUAUAUACGAUGCUCCCUGGAAGACAUCAGGCUGGACAGAAAUCCCAUAAACAUCAACCUGUACGCCUCCUCCUAUAUCUGCCUGCCUCACCUGCCCGUCGGGAGUCACUGAGGGGGGGCAUUGAGGGGGCAUGGGGG
rnacentral:lncRNA from 1 species